UCCCCCUUCUUUCUUCUUCCUUAGUUCGUGACCUUCAAUGGAGAAAGGGCAAGAGAGAACUUGAUGAGUUAGUCACCACUUCAUCUAGACUGCAACAUAGAAAAGCAGCGCCUGCACUUGGAAAAGGGGGAGGAAAUGGAUUGAUUUCAUAGUUCUAAGCUUAGGCAAGUCAUCACUAGUUCUUGGUUAGGUUAUCUAAGUGAAAACCAAGGGGUGUGAAUCCAAGGGAUUCGAAUCAAGUGAGGCGGACUAUGCGUGGAUAGCUAAUUGCACAAACUUCUUGGAUAACAAGUUGUAGAGACGAAAAGCGUUCAGGUA